CCAGUGUGCCCGAAGACUCCCGCAGAUCCCUCCCCCUCCAGAGGCCUGGCCUCACUCUAGUUGGGUGGACGAAGAAGAAGGUGGUGCCAGCAGGGGGUCACAUCAGAACCCGUGACAGACACCCCGUUAUUCUCAUGCAAUUCGCCAACCAAAAACUGUAUUUCUUAUACUGCCACCAAAUCGUCCCUUGCUUCUAUCAGCCUUGCCAAAACUCACGUACUGAUGGUCCUCAGGAAAUUACAGUUUUUACUGUGUCGUCUUUCACUGGGAGUAAUUUUAACAAAUUCUUCCAGGAUAGUUUAACUUUUAGUAGAUAAAUCAAGCUCGGUGUCUGUAUUUGUUUAUUUGUUUAUGCUUUGUCAAACAGAUGACAGUUUUUGGGGUUUUGACUGGCGCACGCUGAUUCCUGCGACCCUGUUCUCGGGGGUCUGGAGCCUUAGCUGGGCACCCUUCCCCAUUUCUGAGGUCCUAUGACCGACCUCCAUGAUUUGAAUGCUGAUUUCACUUUUUCCCUCGGUUAAUUUCGAAAGCUCUUCUAACAGCCAUGGAAUCAACAAAGCUGGGGAAUAUUUGUUGACGGCUGUAGGAGAUGUAUCUGAACACAACUGAACUGGGUCCUUCAGCCAGAGAACAACCCUUUUGCACAGAGAGUAUCAGGGCUGAAAGGAACAUCCAAGUUUAUCUGGUGGGAACAGGGGGUCUAGCUGAGGUCCCCUCUCUAACUUUUCCAACAAGCGGCCAGCCAGCCAGCCCAGGGGAUGCUUCCCGAGGAAGCCAGCAGCUCGUUUAGAAAAGCCUCCUGUGUCCUGAAAUGAAACCCACCCACAGCUUCUGGUGCUGCCCUCCCGGCCCAGACAGCUAGAUCGAAUCCGCCUUCCUGAAGACCGCUGUCGGUGCGGAUGCCUUUGUGUGCCCCUGGGCCUCCGUCUCUGGGUGAAACGCCGCCACAGCCCACAAGACCAUCGCUGGACUCCUCGCCGGCCACGUGGCCUCUCUCUGGAUGCGACCCAGGUAGAUGAACUGGGCACCGACUGUGAACGGAGCACUGGCUGGGCGCUGGGGAUGUGAUGGUGAACAAGGUCGCAGAUCCGCCUCCGAGAACUCGCCGUCUAGUUAAGGACGACGUGCUAAGGGAAAGCGCGUAUGCUCCAUGGUGUUAGGUGCUGGGCGGAAUGAUAAACACGUAAUGAUAAAUAUUACAUAGGUAACAUGACGUGCAUGGGACAAGUACACAUCAUUAGGGAGGGAAGAGGGGGGUAGGUCCCCGGACAGGAGGGGUCCUCGUAGCAAAGCAUCCAGUACACUCGAUGACUCACUAUUCCAGGUGGGCGCAUCCCUGCUCCACCUUCAGGGACCCUGAUUCCCCCAGUCACUGCCCUGCCGCCCCCUAAGAUAACGUCUUCGUGUGUAGAGUUGAGGCCAGUCGCGGGCCUGUCCCGGGUCCCGCCUGAGGGAAAGGGGGAAAGACAGCAAACCCACGGCAAUCGUCUCCUUUGGGGCAAGCGACAAGUCACACAAGUUUGUUCUCUCGCAAAUCUCGCGUGGGUACCGAGUCACGUGGCUGCACCGGGCCACAAGGGGAGCCGGGAAAUGUAGUCUUUGUGGGGAGACUAGGUGACCAGAACAAAGAAGAGCGUGGACUGGCGCGGUCGGGGGGAGCCACCAGCCCUCACAUGGUCUGUGCGAGGAAACAAGUGGGGAUUUCUUAAUAAGGUAAGCAGGGGAGCCCUCCUUGGGGGUGACUUCCAAGAAAAGACCCGGACAAGGUGAAGGAGUGAGCCAUACAGUUUUCUGGGGGGAAAGCAUUUCCAGGCAUCAGAGACACAGAGUCCCUGUCACCUGCAGGAAACAGGAGGGACAUCUGGGGGGCUGGAGUCGGUGGAUGGUAGGGAGACUGGGGGACUGAGGUCGCAGAGGUGGCCUGGCCGAGGUGGCCUUAGAGUCCUUGGCCGUGACCCUGCCUCUCCUCUGAGUGGGCACAGGCCACGGGAGGCUUGUGAGCAGGGAAGGGACGUGAUGGGUCUCGCAUUGUGCCAAUCCUGUGUCCUGCAUGUGGUCCCCCCUGCCCCCUCCCGAGCCCUCUCGGGGCCCCCAGGCACCUGCACGGCCCUCACCCCCUAGACAUCACCUCCCCCACAGAACCUUCCAUCCACCCCGCAAGACUGCACGGUGUUGGGGGGAGGGGGGUUGCCUGCCAGGUGUCGGGGCAAGAACAGGCCUGCCUGCAUGGUCCACCUGUGGCUGAGCACACAGUCUGGAGCACAGAGGGGCAAUCAGGAUGUUUCUCUGAAUUAAUUAAUUCGUAUUAGAAGGAGACGCCUCCCCGAGACUGACAACCCGAGACGAGCCAACUGACCUCCUGUCUUCUCUGUGGGUCUCCAGAAUCCUGCACAUCCAGGAAAACACACAGCCGACCACAGCCUAAGAGCUCAGAACUUGCUAGAACAUUGCACAAUGGUUGUGUGUGAACGCGGAUCUAGAAUUCUCAAAGCGUCUGAUGCACCUGCCAGCACCCUCAGGGAGGAGACGAGCUGUGGCCUGGGUGGGGACAGUCACCUCGCACACAUCCUGCCACCCAUGCAAAGUGUCUGGUGGGUACUGCUCGGAACGGAGGCUUCGGGAACGGAGAAGAUGCCAUCCUCGUCUUCAACGAGUCUGUAGUCUGCGGAGACAGCUGACAAGUCUGCGAUUAACGUCACCGGGCAGGUAUGGGAAAGCACAGAGGAGGGGGUGUCCUGGCAACGGACCCUGGAGGUGACCCCGUAGGUCAUAUGAACGUGUGCAUGAGGGGAAGGAGGGAAGAGGGGUUCAGGGGUCGUCCCAGGCGCAGGGAGCAGCCCUUGUGAAGACCGGGGGGCCGGUGGGGGUCAGGGUGGGGCAGAGACCAAGGAGAGAACUUAGAAAGCAGGCCGAGAAGCAGCACGGAAAGUUCCAUAGUGAGAGGGCUCAGUGAGGCGUGCAGGGGAGCUGGUGUGUAAGACAGAGAUGGCUGUGUGUGCGGAAGCGGGAGUGACUGGGGAGGGGCCGCAGAGACGUGGAGACCCCAGCAGCACCAUCCAUCGCAGCACAGCGACGACCACGGGCGCCGUUUUCACCCGUCAGACCGACUACGGAUGCACGUCUGACAACAUCAGGUGUUUGGUGACGACGCAGGGAGAGGGGUCCCGGAUCCCGCAGGCAGGACUGAGAAUCGCUGUGUAUUAACCGUGUCUUUGUCUUCUGUGCUGAUACAUGGACACUGGGCCCUUGCCGGCCCCAAACAUUAGGAAGGAGACGAUGUCAGUGCCCGCCCCGCAGGACGCAGGACGGACAGAUCACACCUGGGAAGUGUCCAGACAAGCAGAUCCGGGCACGUUCGCCGCAGGCGCUUUUGCGACGGCGGAAAAUCGGGAACAGCCUGGCAAACGGCAUGACUGAGGUGUGGGCACCGGGAGGGUCGCUGCAGCCCCGAGGGGGGGGUUCGUCUCCACGUGGGAGCCCGGGGUUGAGUAAGCAACUCGUGGAACCAGGUGUGCGGCGAGAUGUGAUUUACGGGGAAACAAUACCGUACAUUUUCUGUGGAAAAACGUGAGCACCGAAGAAGAGAGAGACGUGAUGGACGGCAGACGGGGUCGAGUCCAGGCCAGCGAGAGCAGGUGGAGUCAGCGGGGAGAGGUGGUCCGAGGUACUACCGUUGUAUUUCUAUGACUUUUAUUUUGUUUUCAUUAUUUAAUUUAAUGUAUUUGGAUUUUUUUUUUUUUUUUGGUUAUUAUGGAUUGCUUAGGUGAUUAAAAAUUUAUCUGAGAUGCA